CGGAGGAAAGAACAACAGGGAUUGCCCUAGUAACGGCGAGUGAAGCGGCAACAGCUCAAAUUUGAAAUCUGGCUUCGGCCCGAGUUGUAAUUUGUAGAGGAAGCUUUUGGUGAGGCACCUUCUGAGUCCCCUGGAACGGGGCGCCAUAGAGGGUGAGAGCCCCGUAUAGUCGGAUGCCGAUCCAAUGUAAAGCUCCUUCGACGAGUCGAGUAGUUUGGGAAUGCUGCUCAAAAUGGGAGGUAAAUUUCUUCUAAAGCUAAAUACCGGCCAGAGACCGAUAGCGCACAAGUAGAGUGAUCGAAAGAUGAAAAGCACUUUGAAAAGAGGGUUAAAUAGCACGUGAAAUUGUUGAAAGGGAAGCGUUUGUGACCAGACUUGCGCCGUUCCGAUCAUCCGGUGUUCUCACCGGUGCACUCGGGACGGCUCAGGCCAGCAUCGGUUUUGGCGGGGGGAUAAAGGUCCGGGGAACGUAGCUCCUCCGGGAGUGUUAUAGCCCCGGGCGUAAUGCCCUCGCCGGGACCGAGGUUCGCGCAUCUGCAAGGAUGCUGGCGUAAUGGUCAUCAACGACCCGUCUUGAAACACGGACCAAGGAGUCAAGGUUUUGCGCGAGUGUUUGGGUGUAAAACCCGCACGCGUAAUGAAAGUGAACGUAGGUGAGAGCUUCGGCGCAUCAUCGACCGAUCCUGAUGUAUUCGGAUGGAUUUGAGUAAGAGCGUUAAGCCUUGGACCCGAAAGAUGGUGAACUAUGCUUGGAUAGGGUGAAGCCAGAGGAAACUCUGGUGGAGGCUCGCAGCGGUUCUGACGUGCAAAUCGAUCGUCAAAUCUGAGCAUGGGGGCGAAAGACUAAUCGAACCAUCUAGUAGCUGGUUACCGCCGAAGUUUCCCUCAGGAUAGCAGUGUUGUUCUUCAGUUUUAUGAGGUAAAGCGAAUGAUUAGGGACUCGGGGGCGCUUUUUACCCUUCAUCCAUUCUCAAACUUUAAAUAUGUAGGAAGCCCUUGUUACUUAAUUGAACGUGGGCAUUCGAAUGUACCAACACUAGUGGGCCAUUUUUGGUAAGC
rnacentral:rRNA from 1 species